GCUGGGUGCAGUGGUGCAUGCCUGUAAUCCCAACAGCUCAGGAGGCUGAGGUAGGAGAAUCAUGAGUUCAAAGCCAGCCUCAGCAAUGGUGAGGCACUAAGCAAAUCAGUGAGACCCUGUCUCUA
rnacentral:sRNA from 1 species